rnacentral:misc_RNA from 1 species
ACGGAGUUUUAAUUGUUAGGUUAGAGUUAGACUGGUUAAUCUAAUUAAUAUGUGCUUACUCUAAUCGAAACCAAGUCCACUCAUUGACUUAACACUUGUGAACUUAUUCAUUACAAACAUUAUUAUUUGUUAUUGGAACGUUUGCAUUGAUUAAAAGUUAAUA